rnacentral:lncRNA from 1 species
GUUCUCUCUGAUUGUAAAUUAUAUCUGAUAAAUUAAAAUACUUUCACUUCUUUUUUCAUUGUUUGCAUUUGCAUCAUAAUGGUCGCGUUGUUUGGAUUGUGAGACGAGAGUUUCGAUUUACUUCCAUGAUCAUUAAUUUGAAAUGUUGGAAUGGCCGAUUAAAAAGUCAGAAUAUUAUCAAACGUAAUUUCAUCACUUUCGAAACGUUGUCGUACAGUGUACAAUAUCCAUUGAUUGUUGUCAUCCGGGUGUUUUUUAUUAUCAAGGUCAUUUGUUUAGGGGUUCACAACAGGGAACCCAGGAUUUCGAAAUCACGAUGUGAAUUUCUUACUCCGCGAUUGUAAUUUGUUUAUUCAAGUUAAAACGUAAGUUCAAUCCGAGAUAUAUUCGGUGUGUCUUUUCGUUUAAUUGACACGUUUAAAAUGUUUUAAUAAAUAAUACAG